rnacentral:rRNA from 1 species
GCAGGCCUAACACAUGCAAGUCGAGCGGUAACAUUUCUAGCUUGCUAGAAGAUGACGAGCGGCGGACGGGUGAGUAAUGCUUGGGAAUAUGCCUUAGGGUGGGGGACAACAGUUGGAAACGACUGCUAAUACCGCAUAACGUCUACGGACCAAAGGGGGCUUCGCUCUCGCCCUUAGAUUAGCCCAAGUGGGAUUAGCUAGUUGGUGAGGUAAUGGCUCACCAAGGCGACGAUCCCUAGCUGGUUUGAGAGGAUGAUCAGCCACACUGGAACUGAGACACGGUCCAGACUCCUACGGGAGGCAGCAGUGGGGAAUAUUGCACAAUGGGCGCAAGCCUGAUGCAGCCAUGCCGCGUGUGUGAAGAAGGCCUUAGGGUUGUAAAGCACUUUCAGUAAGGAGGAAAGGUUAGUAGUUAAUACCUGCUAGCUGUGACGUUACUUACAGAAGAAGCACCGGCUAACUCCGUGCCAGCAGCCGCGGUAAUACGGAGGGUGCGAGCGUUAAUCGGAAUUACUGGGCGUAAAGCGUACGCAGGCGGUUUGUUAAGCGAGAUGUGAAAGCCCCGGGCUCAACCUGGGAACUGCAUUUCGAACUGGCAAACUAGAGUAUGAUAGAGGGUGGUAGAAUUUCAGGUGUAGCGGUGAAAUGCGUAGAGAUCUGAAGGAAUACCGAUGGCGAAGGCAGCCACCUGGGUCAAUACUGACGCUCAUGUACGAAAGCGUGGGGAGCAAACGGGAUUAGAUACCCCGGUAGUCCACGCCGUAAACGAUGUCUACUAGGAGCUGGGGUCUUCGGACAACUUUUCCAAAGCUAACGCAUUAAGUAGACCGCCUGGGGUGUACGGCCGCAAGGUUAAAACUCAAAUGAAUUGACGGGGGCCCGCACAAGCGGUGGAGCAGGUGGUUUAAUUCGAUGCAACGCGAAGAACCUUACCUACACUUGACAUACAGAGAACUUACUAGAGAUAGUUUGGUGCCUUCGGGAACUCUGAUACAGGUGCUGCAUGGCUGUCGU